UACGUAGGGACCAAGCGUUGUUCGGAUUUACUGGGCGUAAAGGGCGCGUAGGCGGCAUGACAAGUCACUUGUGAAAUCUCCGGGCUUAACCCGGAGCGGCCAAGUGAUACUGUCGUGCUAGAGUGCGGAAGGGGCUACUGGAAUUCUCGGUGUAGCGGUGAAAUGCGUAGAUAUCGAGAGGAACACCUGCGGCGAAGGCGGGUAGCUGGGCCGACACUGACGCUGAGGCGCGAAAGCCAGGGGAGCGAACGGG
rnacentral:rRNA from 1 species